UCUUCUCCAGAUAAUUUUACAUAUGAGGAAACUGAGGCAAACAGGUAUAAGUGACUUGCCUGGGGUCACCCAGGUAAUAAGUAAGGCCAGAUUUAAACUGGGGAAGAUGAGUCUUACUGACUCCAGGCCCAGCUCUCUAUCCAGUAUAACCAUCUAACUGCUCCAUGAGGAAUUGAAUUGAUAUAACUUCUGAGAAACAGUGUGAUGGAACUGUUCAUUAAUUUGACCAAAGAAUCCCAUUACUGCAGACCCCUAGGAAGUCAAAGACAGAAAAGUCUAAUAGCAUUUGUGAUCAUCAAAACAAUCUCCUUUCUUUCACGAUAGACUUUCUCCCUUGUUGAGAGAGAAAUUGUCCUUGCCAUAGUUGUGAAUACAUAUUCUCUAAUUUUUUUUAAAGUGACAUUUUAUGUUCAAGCCUAGGAAGCUUCUACCAGACACAUGGCUUUUCCCCAUUCAUAUGAUACUUCCAGGGCUAGCCCAUAUGAGUUAUUUGCUUCCUAUUUCCCACCUCCAUCUCCUUCUCAAGGGGCCAAACUACCAAGUGGCCAAGUUGAUAGGAAACAGACACCUGAGCCAGCAGGACCAAUUUAGGCAUCUGUCAAUCCUACUUCCCCAUCUUCAGCUCAGAAGGACAGGUUCCAGUCCCUCUAAGUCACCAAAAACCAAGGCUUCUUUCCCCAGAUAGUCAAGAGCAUCUCACUUUGGCCAACUUGCCACUGGCUGGCCAUUUGGCCAGGUUUCAAGUAGGGAGAUAAGCAUUUCAUUUAGCACCUACUAUGUACCAGGCACUACGCUAAAUGCUUUUUUAAAAAUGUUCUCAUUUUAUUCUCACAAAAUCCCUGGGAGAGCCAUACCACUGCUGGACCUGUACCCCUAAGAGAUAAUAAGGGAAAAGACCUCUACAAAAAUAUUUAUAACCCUUUUUGUGGUGGCAAAAAAAUGGGAAAAUGAUGGGAUGCCCUUCAAUUGGGGAAUGGCUGAACAAAUUGUAGUAUAUGUUGGUGAUGGAAUACUAUUGUGCUAAAAGGAAUAAUAAAGUGGAGGAAUUCCAUGUGAACUGGAAUGACCUCCAGGAAGUGAUGCAGAGCGAGAGGAGCAGAACCAGGAGAACAUUGUACACAGACUGAUACACUGUGGUACAAUCUAAUGUAAUGGACUUCUCUACUAGCAGCAAUGCAAUGAUCCAGGACAAUACAGAGGAACUUAUGAGAAAGAACACUAUCCAUAUUCAGAGGAAGAACUAUGUUCAAUGAGGUUCAGCACCAACUUUCUCCUCUCAGGGAUGUGACCCUCUCAAGUAAGAAGACUUUUCCUUGGUCCAAUACAGUGGUUCCUUAUGAAGGGAAAGAGGGUGAAUUGGAGUGGGAAUAGCCUAGUGGUAGGGAGGCCAAUUAAGAGGCUAUUACAAGGGUUAGUCUGAAACAGAGUGUCUGGAGACUUCUUUGUUCAUCUUUAUAUCUGCCCCACAGCCUGUAUAUAAUAAAUGUUUGUUGAAUUAGA